rnacentral:tRNA from 1 species
CGAUGUGUGGGGUAGCCUGGAAAGAGCGCGUGCUUCGGGAGCACGAGAUCGGCGGUUCGAAUCCGCCCGCAUCGA